rnacentral:rRNA from 1 species
UACGUAGGUCCCGAGCGUUAUCCGGAUUUAUUGGGCGUAAAGCGAGCGCAGGCGGUUAGAUAAGUCUGAAGUGAAAGUGUGUGGCUUAACCAUAGUAUGCUUUGGAAACUGUGUAACUUGAGUGCAGAAGGGGAGAGUGGAAUUCCAUGUGUAGCGGUGAAAUGCGUAGAUAUAUGGAGGAACACCGGUGGCGAAAGCAGCUCUCUGGUCUGUAACUGACGCUGAAGCUCGAAAGCGUGGGGAGCAAACAGG